GGAAAAGGUCAGCGCCGUUCUGCGCCUUCAUUGUUUCAUUCACGAGAUUUUUCUUUCUCAUCUGACUUGCCGAGGUAUUCUCUGGGAGGGAGAGAGGAGGAAACGAGCACGUUUCUGAGAUGCACGCGUGUAUUAGAGGGGAUGCUUAAUUAGGAGACAGUCAUACAGCCCUGCAGCCUGAUGGAGUGAAACCACGACAGUCCUGAGUCAGCUGGGUGGGGCACAAUGCAGCGCUAACUGUGUGCCUUUUGUCUCAUAAAAAUGCCUGAAACAAAGUGGUUGUCUGGCGGCGGGCGGCUGCCUGACCUCCGAAAGGCAGCAAAGUUAAUGAAGGCAUCGCAGCCCUGCGCUCUGCCGGCCCGGUGCUGUGCCGGAGAGCCACGGCUCGUCCGCCCGCGUUGUGCCGCAGCACGGCUGCUUGGAGCUCCGGAGCUGAUUGAUGAAAUUACUGCUAAAGCCUUGAGCAAAGGGCUGCUUUCCCCGAUUCUCCUUCAGGUUCCUUUGCCUGUGAGCGUGGUGAAUUAACUUGCAGUAUAAAACGUGCAGCUCCUGCGAGGCUCGGGGAAGCCUGCACCUAUUGAAAACUGCCUUGUGCGGGAGUCUGAUGGAGAAGAUGAUCAGUGCGAGGGGCAUCUUAAGCACUGUAAGGAUUGAGGAGUUUCCCCUAGAAAUUAAUACUUGCUGUCAGUGCUCGGUGACAGCUUCGCUGCCGGAGCGCAGGAAUCUGUGGUUGGUACUUUGAGCGGAGACGAACAGAAUUCAAUUUGCAUGCAUCGAAAAGAAAAUGGUGGCUUCGCAUCUCUCGGAGGCUGAAUAGGAAACCGAUGUGGUGACGUCCUAACGCUGAGGCACUGUUCUGCAGGGGAUAAUGCCCACGCUGGAGUGUCAUCAUAAAAUUAGAGCAACUUUAAAACGAGCGGUGAACGUUUCGGGAGGCGGCUUCUUUCUGCUGCGCUUAAUAUGUGAAUGUUACAAUGGGUGUCUGCGCUAACAGAGCCCACUCAGAAAUUUAAAUGGGGAAUUGGCU
ensembl:lncRNA